rnacentral:rRNA from 1 species
UACAGAGGGUGCGAGCGUUAAUCGGAAUUAUUGGGCGUAAAGAGCUCGUAGGCGGCUUGUCACGUCGGAUGUGAAAGCCCGAGGCUUAACCUCGGGUCUGCAUUCGAUACGGACUAGCUAGAGUGUGGUAGGGGAGAUCGGAAUUCCUGGUGUAGCGGUGAAAUGCGCAGAUAUCAGGAGGAACACCGGUGGCGAAGGCGGAUCUCUGGGCCAUUACUGACGCUGAGGAGCGAAAGCGUGGGGAGCGAACAGG